UGUGGGGUAGCUCAGUUGGUUAGAGCACUAUAUAUGAAAAUAAGUCUUGAAAAAGUCUUUAACAGCAAUCCAAUAUUGCCAGGGGUGUAGGUGUCAUGGGUUCGAAUCCCAUCCCCACAA
rnacentral:tRNA from 1 species